GGAGGUAUACCCAAGUCUGGUUGAAGGGAUCGGUCUUGAAAACCGACAGGCGGGUCAAACCGCGCGGGGGUUCGAAUCCCUCUACCUCCU
rnacentral:tRNA from 1 species